UACGAGGGGGGCGAGCGUUGUUCGGAAUUAUUGGGCGUAAAGGGUGCGUAGGCGGUUUGGUAAGUCUUAUGGGAAAUCUAUGGGCUCAACUCAUAGUCUGCAUGAGAAACUGCCGGGCUUGAGUAUGGGAGAGGUGAGUGGAAUUCCUGGUGUAGCGGUGAAAUGCGUAGAUAUCAGGAGGAACACCGAUGGCGAAGGCAGGUCUCUGGGCUGACACUGACGCUCAUGCACGAAAGCGUGGGGAGCAAACAGG
rnacentral:rRNA from 1 species